UCCACCGUGAGGUGGAAUCUGAAGGAAGCCGGCGGCAAAUCUCUGGUCUGAGGAACACGAACUUCAUAUAAGGCUAACGUACGUUGGAUGAGUUUGCUAUACAAACCAAAGUCCAUACUGUCGAGAUGUACGAGAGUAAAUGAAGCAGAUAGAUGGAGAGGAAGAUAGCGUU
rfam:Paenibacillus sp. IHBB 10380, complete genome.